AGAUGUCUGGACCCGCAGGCCGCUCAGUUUCCCGGUGUCCGCUGGCAGCCUCGAGCUAGGGGCGCGCUCUGGCCCGCGGUGCAGUCGCGCAGUAUAGCAGGGCGGCCUUGGGGCUCUGAGGCCCAACCGGCGAAAGAAGUAGACUCGGCCCUAACCAUCUCGACGCUACAAUUUUUGUUUCUGGAUCUCUGAACUGGGGAGUGAGUGCUGUGGAGUGAGGGGGAAAUAAGAUAAACAUGAGACCUGGCCCAGUAGACGCGUUUUCAGUUCUUGCUGACCUGC
rnacentral:lncRNA from 1 species